AAAAAACAACUUUCAGCAAUGGAUCUCUUGGUUCUCGCAUCGAUGAAGAACGUAGCAAACUGCGAUAAGUAGUGUGAAUUGCAUUCAGUGAAUCAUCGAAUCUUUGAACGCACCUUGCACUCACUGGUAUUC
rnacentral:rRNA from 1 species